AACGAACGUUGGCGGCGUGGAUGAGGCAUGCAAGUCGAACGCGAAAGCCGCAAGGCGAGUAAAGUGGCGGACGGGCGAGUAACACGUAAUCAAGCUACCUGUGAGACGGGGAUAACUUCGGGAAACCGAAGCUAAGACCCGAUGGCCUUAGGAGACCGCAUGGUUUCCUAAGUAAAUGGGCGGGACCUUUCGGGGUCGCCUGCUCGCAGAGGUGAUUGCGGCCCAUCAGCUAGUUGGUAGGGUAAUGGCCUACCAAGGCAACGACGGGUAGCCGGCCUUAGAGGGUGGUCGGCCGCACUGGGACUGAGACACUGCCCAGACUCCUACGGGAGGCUGCAGUCGAGAAUCUUCCGCAAUGGGCGAAAGCCUGACGGAGCGACGCCGCGUGGAGGAUGAAGGCCU
rnacentral:rRNA from 1 species